rnacentral:rRNA from 1 species
UACGUAGGGUCCAAGCGUUGUCCGGAUUUACUGGGCGUAAAGAGCGCGCAGGCGGUCGUUCAAGUCGCGUGUGAAAGCCCCCCGGCUCAACUGGGGAGGGUCACGCGAUACUGAUCGACUCGAAGGCAGGAGAGGGUAGUGGAAUUCCCGGUGUAGCAGUGAAAUGCGUAGAGAUCGGGAGGAACAUCAGUGCGAAGGCGGCUCUCUGGACCAGCACUGACACUGAGGCACGAAAGCGUGGGGAGCAAACAGG